UAACAUUUACAAAGUCUCCCGUGUCCCAUGAUUAUAUCUGGAGGUCGACUUGGAUUUUCUGCUUCCCCAAUCCCUAACCCCAAUUUAGAAGAAGGAUUUUGGGUUUGAUUAAGGAAGUCAUUUCUAACAACAAAUUGUUCUAUCACAUUCUUGAUUUGCUUGGAUGCUUCGAAAGCUUGUCAUUCAUCAUUUACCGUUUGCCUCAU
rnacentral:lncRNA from 1 species